GCCUCAUGGCUAUGUCAUAAUAGAUCCGAACACUUGCCCCGGAUCGACUUCCAGAUCCUAAUUGCUCUAGUGAAUAACUAAAGAAAAUAGAUAAAUGGGAGAUAGAAGAGAAACAAACUAAUUAUAGAAAUAUCUUUUAAAGGUUUACUAAUUAUUUGACUGUUGCGGGUCUCUUUGUAUGUGUUGUCCGGAAAGAGGAGGACUCAAUGAUUAUUC
rnacentral:lncRNA from 1 species